rnacentral:misc_RNA from 1 species
GUUCAGGUAUGCAAUUUCUUAUAACGCUGAAAAGAGUGAAUUCUCAUGACAUUUUCUUUUUCAUCAUACUGUGAGUUUGAGUUGUAAACAAGACAUGUUGGAAACAUGGCUUGGCUUUUAUGCAUGUACUAGCUUUUAGUUUCUGCUAUGCUUGGGAUCCUCAUCAAAUCCUGAUUGUAGAAUCUCAUUUGCAUAUAAAAAGAUAUUUGAAAAGAUCAUAUACAAAUGCCACUCUUCUCAAUGAAGUUUCAAAUUAGCUUUAACUCACAAGUUUGGAAACAAUCACCAAAUGCUAAUGCAUGCAAAAUUAAACAUUUG